CCGGGACAGCGGCGUGGCUUGAAGGAUGUCACGCAUAAGGAUGCUGUGUACUGACAGAGGGAGAGGGUAAAGCCAAUAUCACAUUUUGAUUCUUCGAGAUCGACAGCUUGAGGGUGAGAGAUCCUGUUGGUGGCACUGCUGUCACUACAAGGGAACUGUCAAUAAUUUUCACGUUGCCAAGGCAAGGUGAUUGACAGGCAACCGAAGGCAAAAUGAGAUGCAACUGAUCUGCACAACAGGCCCGGCAGGUCCCACAUGUGCUGUGCAAAAGAAAAUGGCCAUCUUGCGUCUACUCGCCUUCUUUGAAGAUGCAAUGAAACGAAUGACUGUAACUCAGUAACUUAUCACUAAGACUACAUCACUGGAAAUUAUGGAGUACUGCAGGUGAGUGUGAGAACAUGUCUGUCAGCACUUUCACCAUCACAGCAAUGAUGGAGACUUAACGCUGCAGAUGAAAGCAUAACCAUGUGCAAGCCAGGUAAUGGUCAUCAACCAUUUCCAGACUGCUAUAGAGAGCAACAGUGCAAGGCUCCCUUUAAAGUUUUUUUUUUUUGGUAAAACUUUUCUUAAAGCCUUUAUGUAUAAUGUAUUAUAAAAGUAGUUUUAAUGCAUUAAUUAUGCUUUGUAAUGCACC
ensembl:lncRNA